AAGUCGUAACAAGGUCUCCGUAGGUGAACCUGCGGAGGGAUCAUUACCGAGUGGAGGCGCUCCGGCCCGACCUCCAACCCAUUUGAUUGAUCAACGACCUCUGUCUGCCUCGGGGGCGACCCGGCCUUCGGCGGUCGGUACCCCCGGUGGCACCCAACUCAACUCCUGCGUCAAUUUGUCGUCUGAGCAUGUGAAGCGAAAUCAAUCAAAACUUUCAACAACGGAUCUCUUGGUUCUGGCAUCGAUGAAGAACGCAGCGAAAUGCGAUAAGUAAUGUGAAUUGCAGAAUUCAGUGAAUCAUCGAAUCUUUGAACGCACAUUGCGCCCCUUUGGCAUUCCGAGGGCAUGCCUGUUCGAGCGUCAUUACACCACUCAAGCCUGGCUUGGUAUUGGGCGAUCGGCGAUGCACACCCCGCGCCUCAUAUGUUGCUCCGGCUGGACGGACUGAAUCUCAGCGUUGUGCAAUCAAUCCGCUGUGCGACCUGACUGGGACGCGUGCCGUUGAAACAAUCCCAUCACAAGGUUGACCUCGGAUCAGGGUAGGGAUACCCGCUGAACUUAA
rnacentral:rRNA from 1 species